rnacentral:rRNA from 1 species
GGCCUUUGGGUUGUAAACCUCUUUUCUCAGGGAAGAAGAUCUGACGGUACCUGAGGAAUAAGCAUCGGCUAACUCCGUGCCAGCAGCCGCGGUAAUACGGAGGAUGCAAGCGUUAUCCGGAAUUAUUGGGCGUAAAGCGUCCGCGGGUGGUCUUUCAAGUCUGCUGUCAAAGACCAGAGCUUAACUCUGGGCAGGCGGUGGAAACUGAGAGACUAGAGUUCGGUAGGGGUUGCGGGAAUUCCCAGUGUAGCGGUGAAAUGCGUAGAUAUUGGGAAGAACAUCGGUGGCGAAGGCGUGUUACUGGUCCG